UACGUAGGGGGCAAGCGUUGUCCGGAAUUAUUGGGCGUAAAGAGCUCGUAGGCGGCCUGUUGCGUCCGCUGUGAAAGCCCGGGGCUUAACCCCGGGUCGGCAGUGGAUACGGGCAGGCUAGAGGUAGGUAGGGGAGAAUGGAAUUCCCGGUGUAGCGGUGAAAUGCGCAGAUAUCGGGAGGAACACCGGUGGCGAAGGCGGUUCUCUGGGCCUUACCUGACGCUGAGGAGCGAAGGCUAGGGGAGCAAACGGG
rnacentral:rRNA from 1 species